rnacentral:rRNA from 1 species
GAUCCUGGCUCAGGAUGAACGCUAGCUACAGGCUUAACACAUGCAAGUCGAGGGGCAGCAUUUUAGUUUGCUUGCAAACUAAAGAUGGCGACCGGCGCACGGGUGGGUAACACGUAUCCAACCUGCCGAUAACUCGGGGAUAGCCUUUCGAAAGAAAGAUUAAUAUCCGAUAGUAUAUUUUCUCCGCAUGGUGAGAAUAUUAAAGAAUUUCGGUUAUCGAUGGGGAUGCGUUCCAUUAGUUUGUUGGCGGGG